UACGUAGGGUCCAAGCGUUGUCCGGAAUUAUUGGGCGUAAAGAGCUCGUAGGCGGCUUGUCACGUCGGGUGUGAAAGCCCGGGGCUUAACCCCGGGUCUGCAUUCGAUACGGGCUAGCUAGGGUGUGGUAGGGGAGAUCGGAAUUCCUGGUGUAGCGGUGAAAUGCGCAGAUAUCAGGAGGAACACCGGUGGCGAAGGCGGAUCUCUGGGCCAUUACUGACGCUGAGGAGCGAAAGCGUGGGGAGCGAACAGG
rnacentral:rRNA from 1 species